rnacentral:rRNA from 1 species
UAAGGAAUAUUGGUCAAUGGACGCAAGCCUGAACCAGCCAUGCCGCGUGAAGGAUGAAGGUCCUCUGGAUUGUAAACUUCUCUUAUCUGGGACGAAAACGGGAUUUUUAUCUCAAUUGACGGUACCAGAGGAAUAAGCACCGGCUAACUCCGUGCCAGCAGCCGCGGUAAUACGGAGGGUGCGAGCGUUAUCCGGAUUUACUGGGUUUAAAGGGUGCGUAGGUGGGCUUAUAAGUCAGUGGUGAAAUCUCCGAGCUUAACUUGGAAACUGCCGUUGAUACUAUAGGUCUUGAAUUAUCUGGAGGUAAGCGGAAUAUGUCAUGUAGCGGUGAAAUGCUUAGAUAUGACAUAGAACACCAAUUGCGAAGGCAGCUUACUACAUAUAAAUUGACGCUGAGGCACGAAAGCGUGGGGAUCAAAC